rnacentral:rRNA from 1 species
AAUCAACGCUGGCGGCGUGCCUCAGACAUGCAAGUCGAACGAUUAAGACUCCCUUCGGGGAGUGCAUAAAGCGGCGCACGGGUGAGUAACACGUAAGUAAUCUACCUUCGAGUGGGGAAUAACGUUCGGAAACGAACGCUAAUACCGCAUAAUGCAGCGGCAUUGCAAGAUGACAGUUGCUAAAGGAGCAAUCCGCUUGAAGAGGAGCUUGCGGCAGAUUAGCUAGUUGGUAAGGUAACGGCUUACCAAGGCUACGAUCUGUAUCCGGCCUGAGAGGGCGGUCGGACACACUGACACUGAAUAACGGGUCAGACUCCUACGGGAGGCAGCAGUCGGGAAUUUUGGGCAAUGGGCGAAAGCCUGACCCAGCAACGCCGCGUGAAGGAUGAAGUAUUUCGGUAUGUAAACUUCGAAAGAAUAGGAAGAAUAAAUGACGGUACUAUUUAUAAGCUCCGGCUAACUACGUGCCAGCAGCCGCGGUAACAC